rnacentral:rRNA from 1 species
AAACCCGGUCUAAUACCGGAUACGACGGCUCGUGGCAUCACGAGGCGUGGAAAGAUUUCUCGGCUAGGGAUGGGCCCGCGGCCUAUCAGCUUGUUGGUGGGGUGACGGCCUACCAAGGCGUCGACGGGUAGCCGGCCUGAGAGGGCGACCGGCCACACUGGGACUGAGACACGGCCCAGACUCCUACGGGAGGCAGCAGUGGG